GGAAUCUUCCACAAUGGACGCAAGUCUGAUGGAGCAACGCCGCGUGAGUGAAGAAGGCUUUCGGGUCGUAAAACUCUGUUAUUGAAGAAGAACGUGUGUGACAGUAACUGGUCAUGCAGUGACGGUAUUCAAUCAGAAAGUCACGGCUAACUACGUGCCAGCAGCCGCGGUAAUACGUAGGUGGCAAGCGUUGUCCGGAUUUAUUGGGCGUAAAGCGAGUGCAGGCGGUCUUUUAAGUCUGAUGUGAAAGCCUUCGGCUUAACCGAAGAAGGGCAUCGGAAACUGGGAGACUUGAGUGCAGAAGAGGAGAGUGGAACUCCAUGUGUAGCGGUGAAAUGCGUAGAUAUAUGGAAGAACACCAGUGGCGAAGGCGGCUCUCUGGUCUGUAACUGACGCUGAGGCUCGAAAGCGUGGGUAGCAAACAGGAUUAGAUACCCUGGUAGUCCACGCCGUAAACGAUGAUUACUCGUUUUU
rnacentral:rRNA from 1 species